UGCUUGCACCUUUCAAGUGAGUGGCGAACGGGUGAGUAACACGUGGACAACCUGCCUCAAGGCUGGGGAUAACAUUUGGAAACAGAUGCUAAUACCGAAUAAAACUUAGUGUCGCAUGACACAAAGUUAAAAGGCGCUUCGGCGUCACCUAGAGAUGGAUCCGCGGUGCAUUAGUUAGUUGGUGGGGUAAAGGCCUACCAAGACAAUGAUGCAUAGCCGAGUUGAGAGACUGAUCGGCCACAUUGGGACUGAGACACGGCCCAAACUCCUACGGGAGGCUGCAGUAGGGAAUCUUCCACAAUGGGCGAAAGCCUGAUGGAGCAACGCCGCGUGUGUGAUGAAGGCUUUCGGGUCGUAAAGCACUGUUGUAUGGGAAGAACAGCUAGAAUAGGAAAUGAUUUUAGUUUGACGGUACCAUACCAGAAAGGGACGGCUAAAUACGUGCCAGCAGCCGCGGUAAUACGUAUGUCCCGAGCGUUAUCCGGAUUUAUUGGGCGUAAAGCGAGCGCAGACGGUUUAUUAAGUCUGAUGUGAAAGCCCGGAGCUCAACUCCGGAAUGGCAUUGGAAACUGGUUAACUUGAGUGCAGUAGAGGUAAGUGGAACUCCAUGUGUAGCGGUGGAAUGCGUAGA
rnacentral:rRNA from 1 species